rnacentral:lncRNA from 1 species
ACGGGGUUUCUCCAUGUUGGUCAGGCUGGUCUGGAACUCUCAACCUUAGGUGAUCUGCCUGCCUUGGCCGUCCAAAGUGCUGGGAUUACAGGCGUUGUAGAUGAGCAUGAGAGUGUGGAGCAGAGUUGGCGAGUGCAAGUCGAGCCCAUCAACCUGGACAGCUGUCUCCGUGCUUUCACCAGUGAGGAAGAGCUAGGGGAAGAUGAGAUAUACUACUGUUCCAAGUGUAAGACCCACUGCUUUAGCAACAAAGAAGCUGGAUCUCUGGAGGCUUCCACCCUUCCUG